CUAGCGGCGGACGGGUGAGUAAUGCUUAGGAAUCUGCCUAUUAGUGGGGGACAACAUUUCGAAAGGAAUGCUAAUACCGCAUACGUCCUACGGGAGAAAGCAGGGGAUCUUCGGACCUUGCGCUAAUAGAUGAGCCUAAGUCGGAUUAGCUAGUUGGUGGGGUAAAGGCCUACCAAGGCGACGAUCUGUAGCGGGUCUGAGAGGAUGAUCCGCCACACUGGGACUGAGACACGGCCCAGACUCCUACGGGAGGCAGCAGUGGGGAAUAUUGGACAAUGGGCGCAAGCCUGAUCCAGCCAUGCCGCGUGUGUGAAGAAGGCCUUAUGGUUGUAAAGCACUUUAAGCGAGGAGGAGGCUACUUUAGAUAAUACCUAGAGAUAGUGGACGUUACUCGCAGAAUAAGCACCGGCUAACUCUGUGCCAGCAGCCGCGGUAAUACAGAGGGUGCAAGCGUUAAUCGGAUUUACUGGGCGUAAAGCGCGCGUAGGCGGCUAAUUAAGUCAAAUGUGAAAUCCCCGAGCUUAACUUGGGAAUUGCAUUCGAUACUGGUUAGCUAGAGUGUGGGAGAGGAUGGUAGAAUUCCAGGUGUAGCGGUGAAAUGCGUAGAGAUCUGGAGGAAUACCGAUGGCGAAGGCAGCCAUCUGGCCUAACACUGACGCUGAGGUGCGAAAGCAUGGGGAGCAAACAGGAUUAGAUACCCUGGUAGUCCAUGCCGUAAACGAUGUCUACUAGCCGUUGGGGCCUUUGAGGCUUUAGUGGCGCAGCUAACGCGAUAAGUAGACCGCCUGGGGAGUACGGUCGCAAGACUAAAACUCAAAUGAAUUGACGGGGGCCCGCACAAGCGGUGGAGCAUGUGGUUUAAUUCGAUGCAACGCGAAGAACCUUACCUGGCCUUGACAUAGUAAGAACUUUCCAGAGAUGGAUUGGUGCCUUCGGGAACUUACAUACAGGUGCUGCAUGGCUGUCGUCAGCUCGUGUCGUGAGAUGUUGGGUUAAGUCCCGCAACGAGCGCAACCCUUUUCCUUAUUUGCCAGCGAGUAAUGUCGGGAACUUUAAGGAUACUGCCAGUGACAAACUGGAGGAAGGCGGGGACGACGUCAAGUCAUCAUGGCCCUUACGGCCAGGGCUACACACGUGCUACAAUGGUCGGUACAAAGGGUUGCUACCUAGCGAUAGGAUGCUAAUCUCAAAAAGCCGAUCGUAGUCCGGAUUGGAGUCUGCAACUCGACUCCAUGAAGUCGGAAUCGCUAGUAA
rnacentral:rRNA from 1 species